ACUUUAUUUUUCCUUCUCUUAAAAUUUUGUUAUUUAUAUCUGUUCAGAUCAAUUAUCGUCGAUUCGUGCGUUACAAUGCAGUAAAUAAUCUUGUAAAAGCUUUUUUAUAUCACGCAACGAUAUUUUACAAGCUCGAUGACAUCGAGUCAUCUAUUCACAGUAAAAAAUGUUCGCAGGCGUGCGCAUACGCUCAAUUCGGUCAGACUUUUUUGCGCGAUUUUUUCGAGUUUCGAGAAGCGCAGAAACGUAUGCGCACUUUCCAAGCACAUAGGUGCGCGCGCGCCAGUCGUUGACGAGUUGUCGAUGCAGCGUGGUAACAGUUACCGAAUAUGGUGUAUACCGGUUUUUUUUCGUUUUCACCGCGUUCCAAUGGCUUCAAUCCACAAGCCUGAUGCACUGGAAUCGUAGUACUCUCGGUACCGUUGUAAUCGUUAUAAGUAACGAAAACAAGCGACUCGUUUCGUGGUCGCUGCCAGGUACGGUAGCGUUUCAUACUUUUUUGCCAUUCUUCCGGAGAAUGCUGUAACGCGCGUGCCACUGUCCCUCUUCAAUGUCCAUUGGUUCUGGGUCGAGUUUUCGCAUCGUCUGUCUUUCUUCCUAGCAAACUGCCCCGCCGAAAUGUUUCUCCGAUAGAUCUUAUUAUUCGAGUACGUUUAUCCUUCCACUUUUUAUCCAGAAUGAAAAAUGUGUAAAAGUGGACAAGUUUUUUUCAUCGUAACAACGAUAAUUUCUUAAAAAAAUUAUUUUGUGUCUGGAAUUUCUACUAAUUUCAUGACCAGGGAUGAAAAAUAAGAUAAUACGAUCGUUUUCGAAAUAUUCGAUUCGAUAUUAUGAUAAAAUGUGGAAAUUUUGAACAAAUGUGCGAUGGAAAAUUAAUUAUACAGGAUAGGAAAUUAACGUGCGAUUAGUAUGUUGAUAAGCGAGGUAAAUUGAGCGUGACGCUAGCACAUGCGCAUGCGUAGUCGCUUGCACGCCACGCGACCGCCACGCUCGGUAUCUUAAAAUUUUAUCUCACUUCCUCCUACUUUCGUUCUCACCAAUUUCUUCUGUCCCCCUUCCUCUCUCUAUCAAGAAAUACCGAUUAGUAUCUCCCCGGUUCAUCUCCACCCUCUCUUGGGAACAACGUUUCUUCUCCCCUUCCUUUGUUUCCUUUUACAUUUUCUCAGCCCUCUUUCUUCUUCUACUUCUAUUUCUCAAUCUUCUUUCUCUUCUUCCUCCUUCUCUUCUCCUUCUGUUCUCUCGGGCGCCGUCAGAUUUACUCGCCUUCUCGAGUUGCUUCUUUCAACUCUCAAACGCUUGUAGUACUUACUCCAGGCAACGUACUCACGCUGCGUGGCUGCAUUUUAUUCAUGUUCUCCUCUUGUGUUGUUCUCCGCCAGUGAUGGCCUACAACCAUAUUACAGUGACGAUAAAUGAAUAAAAUCAAUGUCGUUACUAUUGGGAAGACGUACGCAAAUUUCACGAAGUGAAACAAUAGAAAACAAAGUCGAAUAGGAUAAAAAAUUGCAUUGAAAUCGCAUCGAGAUGAUGACCAGAGCGAGUUUGAUACGUUUCGAGGGCGAUCGGUGGCCAUCGCUAGAGCGACGACGGGAGCGGGACCGGCAGCAACUUCUCGGGUUCCCACCGAACCCGGGUUCUUCGUCUCUGUCUGACCCGCCGCGUGGCCGAUCCUUUUCUCCGGCGAUGAGCCGGUGUAUCGUGAAACGCGCUCCCGAGGCGGCUGCCUUUUAUUUUCUCGGCGUGCGUGCACCCUCCGUUCAGCGACUGAAACACUGUUGCCUCGUGAAAAUAAACGAGCUGGAGGUGGAAUCGGCACUAACAGAACCUACAGGGGAAAGAAAAUAGACCAACGCAUAUACAUACGUAACUCAUUUCGCGCAACGCCCUCUUCGCGUACUACAAACUAACCUCAAACCAAAAACGAUUUGAACUUUCUUUAAAUAUAAUUCUCUUAUUGAGAAAUGAGAGACGAAAAAAUAAAGGAAAAGAAGUACAAUUGAUUUCGCCGAUACAUUUGAGAAGUAGUUUUUACGAACAGCGGAUCGAUAUUUAUCAAUCGACUGACAAUUUCGAUCGAUGAUCACGGGAUUACCUGUUCUUCUUUACGUAGUGAAAUAUGUAAGUAAACUUAUAACGUGUAUUAAAAGUGCACUUUCCAAAUUGUUUAUGGCCGUACACGUGAAGAUUCAUUAAUCCUUUCUACGCAAUUCUUGUACUUUCAGCUCUUGUACUCUUUCAAAAAAGUAUUUUUUUUGAAAAAACUUUUUACACUCGUACAGAAUAAUUUUUAUUUCAAAUAAAAAGAACAAGUAAAAAGAAGAAAUAAUCACUCUUAUUGGAUUCGAAUAUUUGUGCGAGACCAUUAUAUGUACUAUAUUUAAAGGAAACAUUUUUUUCAUAUCGUUGAAAUUUUACUUAAUUUUACGUCUGCGAUGCCAUGACGCUUAUUGUAAAUCAUUCUGCUUUCUUUUUUCCUCAAUUGUACCUCUGUGUCUGCAGUCAUUUCUACGAAAGAACGCGUGUGGUGCAUGAUUCCUGGAACGGUAACUUUCCAACCUCUUAUUAACUCGACGCCAUUAAUCCCAUUACCUCGAUUCAAUUAGGCCGAUUUUACUACAUAGAAUUAAAAUGAGUAUCGUUAAA
rnacentral:lncRNA from 1 species